rnacentral:rRNA from 1 species
AUUGAACGCUGGCGGCAGGCCUAACACAUGCAAGUCGAGCGGAUGAAGGGAGCUUGCUCCUGGAUUCAGCGGCGGACGGGUGAGUAAUGCCUAGGAAUCUGCCUGGUAGUGGGGGAUAACGUCCGGAAACGGGCGCUAAUACCGCAUACGUCCUGAGGGAGAAAGUGGGGGAUCUUCGGACCUCACGCUAUCAGAUGAGCCUAGGUCGGAUUAGCUAGUUGGUGGGGUAAAGGCCUACCAAGGCGACGAUCCGUAACUAGUCUGAGAGGAUGAUCAGUCACACUGGAACUGAGGCACGGUCCAGACUCCUACGGGAGGCAGCAGUGGGGAAUAUUGGACAAUGGGCGAAAGCCUGAUCCAGCCAUGCCGCGUGUGUGAAGAAGGUCUUCGGAUUGUAAAGCACUUUAAGUUGGGAGGAAGGGCAGUAAGUUAAUACCUUGCUGUUUUGACGUUACCAACAGAAUAAGCACCGGCUAACUUCGUG